UGACACCUUCUCUAACCCACAGCUGUUCUGGGAGAAAAGACUGCAGGGUUUACAAGCUCUGGACGCCCAAACCUCCGUGUUGAGAAACGUCGACUUACCUGCAGCUCUGAAGGCUGUGGGACCGAACGUGGAGGACCAGACUGCUGCAGAGUGUCGCCACAGCCCUCCACGUGUUUCCUGGCCCCAUUACCGGCCAGACAGAGGCGAGACAUUACUUAAAAAAGAACCCUGGAGUGUUUUUGAACCUGUCACAGCCUCUCGUCAUUUCGGUGCAAAUAGAAAACGAGGACAUAGCAAGACAGGAAGAGAGAGUGGGUCUUGCUCGACACCAGCUGGAGAAGGCAUUGAGGGAGCUGCAGCCGUAGAGAGAGAGAGAGAGAAAGAGAGAGAUUUUGUUUGCUAUACCC